rnacentral:tRNA from 1 species
GGAUAGCUCAGUUGUAGAGCACGUGCUUAGCACGCACAAGGUCCUGGGUUCAAUCCCCAGGGCCUCCG